rnacentral:rRNA from 1 species
GACGAACGCUGGCGGCGUGCUUAACACAUGCAAGUCGAACGGAAAGGCCCUGCUUGCAGGGUACUCGAGUGGCGAACGGGUGAGUAACACGUGGGUGAUCUGCCCUGCACUUCGGGAUAAGCCUGGGAAACUGGGUCUAAUACCGGAUAGGAGCCAUUUUUAGUGUGAUGGUUGGAAAGUUUUUUCGGUGUAGGAUGAGCUCGCGGCCUAUCAGCUUGUUGGUGGGGUAAUGGCCUACCAAGGCGGCGACGGGUAGCCGGCCUGAGAGGGUGGACGGCCACAUUGGGACUGAGAGACGGCCCAGACUCCUACGGGAGGCAGCAGUGGGGAAUAUUGCACAAUGGGCGCAAGCCUGAUGCAGCGACGCCGCGUGGGGGAGGACGGCCUUCGGGUUGUAAACUCCUUUCGCUAGGGACGAAGCUUUUUGUGACGGUACCUAGAUAAGGAGCACCGGCUAACUACGUG